ACCAGUUCGUUGUUCUGGCCCAGCCCGGUUCCGAUUGCGCGGACAUCUCAUCGUCUGACCAUUCGAUAACCGAUGAGAUAUUCACGUUAUCGAGACUGCGACAGCGGCACUGACUUCAAAUUUGU
rnacentral:precursor_RNA from 15 species